GACGAACGCUGGCGGCAUGCCUAACACAUGCAAGUCGAACGAGACCUUCGGGUCUAGUGGCGCACGGGUGCGUGACGCGUGGGAACCUGCCCUUAGGUUCGGAAUAACUCCCCGAGAGAGGUGCUAAUACCGGAUAAUGUCUUCGGACCAACGAUUUAUCGCCUUUGGGUGGGCCCGCGUUGGAUUGGCUAGUUGGUAGGGUAAAAGCCUACCAAGGCGACGAUCCAUAGCUGGUCGGAGAGGAGGAUCAUCCACACUGGGAAUGAGACACGGCCCAGAAUCCUACGGGAGGGAGCAGUGGGGAAUAUUGUACACGGAGCGAAAGUCUGAUCAAGCCAUGUCGCGGGAGUGAUGAAGGCCUUAGGGUUGUAAAGCCCUUUUACCCGGGAUGAUAAUGACAGUACCGGGAGAAUAAGCUCCGGCUAACUACGUG
rnacentral:rRNA from 1 species